CAUCACCACAGUUGUUGUAACCAUCACACACGAAGUUGAUGGAGAUGCACGUCUUGUUACUGCACUGGAACUCAUCAGGAGAACAAGCUUGGGAAAAAAAAACAAGCAGGCAGUGAGGAACUGAGAUCAGACAUCUAACAUUAGGAGAUGAAUCCCUCUCACAAGGACCCAAAACACAAUCAGCCCGGUGGAGAAGCAUCUAAAAAACCCUUCCACGUGUCAGAAGUGAGACUAAAAUGCUGCAGCCUACCCGUAAUUUCAGCUGAUUUUCUUCACUCAGCAUACUUUUCUACCCUUAUCCCAUAACCAGAAAUAAAAUGAGCUGCUAAUCCUACUGAUCAGCACGUGGCUGUAUGAUCUCUUCAAGUGAUGAAUAAGAUGGAGCUACCAAAUGGAAAACUGAGGCCUAAUGGUCUUCAAGCCAACUGCCUCACAAGUGCCUGGAGCAGAGACCUCUGUCCCAGCUGGCUCUCCUAUGAGCCACAGGAAGGCGGAUUCUGUCCCAGUUCCACUCACCCUUUUGCUAUCUUCUCUGACAGCUAAAAUCCACAGGGCAUGCAAGGAUAAAGCAAAGUAGCUUUAUUCAGCCUGGAGAAGAGAAGGCUGCGGGGUGACCUCAUUGCAGCCUAUCAAUACCU